rnacentral:rRNA from 1 species
CUCCAGACUCCUACGGGAGGCAGCAGUGGGGAAUAUUGCACAAUGGGGGAAACCCUGAUGCAGCGACGCCGCGUGAGCGAUGAAGUAUUUCGGUAUGUAAAGCUCUAUCAGCAGGGAAGAAAAUGACGGUACCUGACUAAGAAGCCCCGGCUAACUACGUGCCAGCAGCCGCGGUAAUACGUAGGGGGCAAGCGUUAUCCGGAUUUACUGGGUGUAAAGGGGGCGCAGACGGCAGCGCAAGCCAGGAGUGAAAGCCCGGGGCCCAACCCCGGGACUGCUCUUGGAACUGCGCGGCUGGAGUGCAGGAGGGGCAGGCGGAAUUCCUGGUGUAGCGGUGAAAUGCGUAGAUAUCAGGAGGAACACCGGUGGCGAAGGCGGCCUGCUGGACUGCAACUGACGGUGAGGCGCGAAAGCGUGGGGAGCAAACAGGAUUAGAUACCCCAGUACUC